rnacentral:rRNA from 1 species
AACACAUGCAAGUCGAGCGGCAGCGGGAAGUAGCGUUGCUACUUUGCCGGCGAGCGGCGGACGGGUGAGUAAUGUUUUUGAAACUGCCUGAUGGAGGGGGAUAGCUACUGGAAACGGGGGCUAAUACCGCAUAACGUCGCAAGACCAAAGAGGGGGACCUUCGGGCCUCUUGCCAUCAGAUGUGCCCAGAUGGGAUUAGCUAGUAGGUGGGGUAACGGCUCACCUAGGCGACGAUCCCUAGCUGGUCUGAGAGGAUGACCAGCCACACUGGAACUGAGACACGGUCCAGACUCCUACGGGAGGCAGCAGUGGGGAAUAUUGCACAAUGGGCGCAAGCCUGAUGCAGCCAUGCCGCGUGUAUGAAGAAGGCCUUCGGGUUGUAAAGUACUUUCAGCGGGGAGGAAGGCGAUAAGGUUAAUAACCUUGUCGAUUGACGUUACCCGCAGAAGAAGCACCGGCUAACUCCGUGCCAGCAGCCGCGGUAAUACGGAGGGUGCAAGCGUUAAUCGGAAUUACUGGGCGUAAAGCGC